CUUACACAUGCAGUCGAGGGGUACGUGAAGCAAGCUUGCUUGCUUUGACGACGACCGGCGCACGGGUGAGUAACGCGUAUCCAACCUGCCCCUUACUACGGGACAGCCCGGCGAAAGUCGGAUUAAUACCGUAUGUGGUGUGAAGAGGACAUCUGACUUACACUAAAGAUUCGUCGGUAAGGGAUGGGGAUGCGUCCGAUUAGGUUGUCGGCGGGGUAACGGCCCACCGAGCCUUCGAUCGGUAGGGGUUCUGAGAGGAAGGUCCCCCACACUGGAACUGAGACACGGUCCAGACUCCUACGGGAGGCAGCAGUGAGGAAUAUUGGUCAAUGGGCGAGAGCCUGAACCAGCCAAGUAGCGUGAGGGAAGACUGCUCUAUGGGUUGUAAACCUCUUUAGUCUGGGAAUAAAGUUGGCGACGUGUCGCCUUUUGUAGGUACCAGAAGAAUAAGGACCGGCUAAUUCCGUGCCAGCAGCCGCGGUAAUACGGAAGGUCCGGGCGUUAUCCGGAUUUAUUGGGUUUAAAGGGAGCGCAGGCGGCCUGUUAAGCGGGCAGUUAAAGGCGGUGGCUCAACCAUCGUUAGCUGUCCGAACUGAUAGGCUUGAGUACGUGCGAGGUAUGCGGAAUUCGUGGUGUAGCGGUGAAAUGCUUAGAUAUCACGAAGAACCCCGAUUGCGAAGGCAGCAUACCAGUGCGCCACUGGACGGCUAAAGCUCGAAAGCGCCGGGUAUCGAACCAGGGAUUAGAUACCCCUGGUUAGUCCGGCGCGGUAAACGAUUGGAUGCCCCGCUGUGCGGCCCUUUUAUUGUUGCGCGGCCAAGCGAAAGCGUUAAGCAUCCCCUGGGGAGUACUGCCGGCAACGGUGAAACUCAAAGGAAAUUGACGGGGGCCCGCACAAGCGGAGGAACAUGGUGGUUUAAUUCGAUGAUACGCGAGGAACCUUACCCCGGGCUUGAAUUGCAGCUGCAUGGGGCAGAGAUGUCCCUUCCCUUCGGGCGCUGCUGUGAAGGCGCUGCAUGGUUGUCGUCAGCUCGUGCCGUGAGGUGUCGGCUUAAGUGCCAUAACGAGCGCAACCCCUUUUGCCAGUUGCCAUCAGGCGAAGCUGGGCACUCUGGUGAUACUGCCACCGUAAGGUGUGAGGAAGGUGGGGAUGACGUCAAAUCAGCACGGCCCUUACGUCCGGGGCUACACACGUGUUACAAUGGCGCGUACAGAGCGUUGGUCAGUCGCGAGUCUGAUCUAAUCGCUAAAACGCGUCUCAGUUCGGAUUGGGGUCUGCAACCCGACCCCAUGAAGCUGGAUUCGCUAGUAAUCGCGCAUCAGCCAUGGCGCGGUGAAUACGUUCCCGGGCCUUGUACACACCGCCCGUCAAGCCAUGAAAGCCGGGGGCGCCUGAAGUCCGUGACC
rnacentral:rRNA from 1 species